rnacentral:rRNA from 1 species
AUUGAACGCUGGCGGCAUGCUUUACACAUGCAAGUCGAACGGUAACAGGUUAAGCUGACGAGUGGCGAACGGGUGAGUAAUGCAUCGGAACGUGCCCGGUCGUGGGGGAUAACGCAGCGAAAGCUGCGCUAAUACCGCAUACGAUCUGACGAUGAAAGCGGGGGACCGUAAGGCCUCGCGCGAUCGGAGCGGCCGAUGUCAGAUUAGGUAGUUGGUGGGGUAAAGGCUCACCAAGCCGACGAUCUGUAGCUGGGCUGAGAGGACGACCAGCCACACUGGGACUGAGACACGGCCCAGACUCCUACGGGAGGCAGCAGUGGGGAAUUUUGGACAAUGGGCGCAAGCCUGAUCCAGCAAUGCCGCGUGCAGGAAGAAGGCCUUCGGGUUGUAAACUGCUUUUGUACGGAGCGAAAAGGUCUUCCCUAAUACGGGAGGCUGAUGACGGUACCGUAAGAAUAAGCACCGGCUAACUACGUGCCAGCAGCCGCGGUAACAC